rnacentral:tRNA from 1 species
GGUGCCGUGGUGUAGUUGGUUAUCACGUCAGUCUAACACACUGAAGGUCUCCAGUUCAAGUCUGGUUGGCGCCA